AUGUCGGGACUAGGAGGGCCGGCCGGCCCGGGGCGGGGGGUGGUCGGGCUCAGGGAACUGCAACUCCCAGCAGCCCCCAGGUACGGGGCGUGGCAGGAGAGCUGGGCGAGCCAAAGGCGACCGGAAGGAUCAUUCUAGUCCAGCCCUUCGCUUUGCCCGGAGGAAAGCCACGGGCCAAUUUCGUCGAGUCUCACUGAGCCUUAAUCGUCGGCGAGUCCUAGGCGCGAAGUUUCUCGGCCUGGAGGAGGGGGUCACGCGAAGUGCCAGAUGCAGGCGGGGAAGCCCAUCCUCUAUUCCUAUUUCCGAAGCUCCUGCUCAUGGAGAGUUCGAAUUGCUCUGGCCUUGAAAGGCAUUGACUACGAGACGGUGCCCAUCAAUCUCAUAAAGGAUGGGGGCCAACAGUUCUCUAAGGACUUCCAGGCACUGAAUCCCAUGAAGCAGGUGCCAGCCUUGAAGAUUGAUGGAAUCACCAUUUACCAGUCACUGGCCAUCAUUGAGUAUCUUGAGGAGACGCGUCCCACUCCGCAACUUCUGCCUCAGGACCCAAAGAAGAGGGCCAGCGUGCGUAUGAUUUCUGACCUCAUCGCUGGUGGCAUCCAGCCCCUGCAGAACCUGUCUGUCCUGAAGCAAGUAGGAGAGGAGAUCCAGCUGACCUGGGCCCAGAAUGCCAUCACUUCUGGCUUUAACGCCCUGGAGCAGAUCCUACAGAGCACAGCAGGCAUCUACUGUGUAGGAGAUGAGGUGACCAUGGCUGAUCUGUGCUUGGUGCCUCAGGUGGCAAAUGCUGAAAGAUUCAAGGUGGAUCUCACCCCCUACCCUACCAUCAGCUCCAUCAACAAGAGGCUGCUGGUCUUGGAGGCCUUCCAGGUGUCUCACCCCUGCCGGCAGCCAGAUACACCCACCGAGCUGAGGGCCUAGCUCCCAAAUCCUGCCCCGUUGGCACAGGGCCAUAGGAGCAGAAGCUGGGUGGGCUGAAGAGGCCUGGAAGCAAUUAUGUCAGUGCUGGUUACAGGGGUCCAGUCAAAAUAAACUCCAAAGCCAAUGUCAUAGUCAUCGGUCGCAAACUCCCAGCAGACACGCUUCCCCUCUGGAUGAGUAGGUACCCGGAUGGUCACCACCUCACCACGCUUCACCACCAGACGGCUGUUCUUCUCUUUGCCCAGCUUGCUUUUGAAUUCCUUCACCUUGGCAAAGGUCCAGAUGCAUGGAGGAGCCAUCAGAGGUGGGGAGACUGAAAGGACAGGCAGCUUAACACUGAGAAACCAUGAGGAAACAUGAGUACCCCAGGCAUUUUGCUAAGAGAGGUUGGCACAGUCAGACAUUCUUUCUACUGGCUUCUUUGACUUCCUUUCACAUGUCAUUUUCUUUCCUUCCAUUUGUCUGUCUGCCUGCCUUUCUUUAUCUACUGGAAACAAACCACCUCCUAUACUCCCAAAGGUCUCACCUUUCCUGUGGUCCCCCAGAAGAUCUGCAGAUUCCAAAUCAGCUGCAAGAAUAUCUAUAGCUCCUGUGUGUUCAGAUUGGAUCAUAACGAUGUCCCCAGACCUCUGUGGAACUUGAUACUUGGCCAUCUGCACAACAGAACUCUGGUUAAAGGAGUAUUAGAGUGGCAGAUUCUAAUUAAUCUCUUUUUGCAUGAAGGCUGCCCCACCCCUGCUCUAUUAUCUCCGCUAUCCCCACUCAAAGCUUAAUGUACUAGUCAAUGUUCCCUUCUCUUUCUUCCAAAUAGGAGUUGCUAAUAAAUUCUACUAAUUUUUUAAA